UACGUAGGGGGCAAGCGUUGUCCGGAUUUAUUGGGCGUAAAGAGCGUGUAGGCGGUUUGGUAGGUCCGUUGUGAAAACUCGAGGCUCAACCUCGAGACGUCGGUUGAAACCAUCUGGCUAGAGUCCGGAAGAGGAGUGUGGAAUUCCCGGUGUAGCGGUGAAAUGCGCAGAUAUUGGGAAGAACACCAGUGGCGAAGGCGGCACUCUGGGACGGUACUGACGCUGAGGCGCGAAAGCGUGGGGAGCGAACAGG
rnacentral:rRNA from 1 species